rnacentral:rRNA from 1 species
CAGUCGCCGCGGUAAAACGUAGGUGGCAAGCGUUGUCCGGAAUUAUUGGGCGUAAAGGGCUCGCAGGCGGUUUCUUAAGUCUGAUGUGAAAGCCCCCGGCUCAACCGGGGAGGGUCAUUGGAAACUGGGAAACUUGAGUGCAGAAGGGGGGAGUGGAAUUCCACGUGUAGCGGUGAAAUGCGUAGAGAUGUGGAGGAACGCCAGUGGCGAAGGCGACUCUCUGGUCUGUAACUGACGCUGAGGAGCGAAAGCGUGGGGAGCGAACAGGAUUAGAGACCCCCGUAGUCCCUGUCUCUUAUAC